rnacentral:hammerhead_ribozyme from 1 species
GCACUGCCGACGAGUCUCGAAUAGGAUGAAACAGCUGUCCAGUGC